AUUGAACGCUGGCGGCAUGCCUUACACAUGCAAGUCGAACGGCAGCACGGGAGCAAUCCUGGUGGCGAGUGGCGAACGGGUGAGUAAUAUAUCGGAACGUGCCCAGUCGUGGGGGAUAACGCAGCGAAAGCUGUGCUAAUACCGCAUACGAUCUAUGGAUGAAAGCGGGGGAUCGCAAGACCUCGCGCGAUUGGAGCGGCCGAUAUCAGAUUAGCUAGUUGGUGGGGUAAAAGCUCACCAAGGCGACGAUCUGUAGCUGGUCUGAGAGGACGACCAGCCACACUGGAACUGAGACACGGUCCAGACUCCUACGGGAGGCAGCAGUGGGGAAUUUUGGACAAUGGGCGGAAGCCUGAUCCAGCCAUGCCGCGUGAGUGAAGAAGGCC
rnacentral:rRNA from 1 species